GCGGAGCAGAAAUACUGCUGCUGUGUGGGAACGUUGGAAACCUUUAAAUGUAAUAUAGCCUUAAAAUGGAUUUAAACUGAUGACCAUGGAUUUUUUAAAGUACACACUUUUGACAAAUAAAAAUAUUCAACUUAAAUUUCAAAAAGAGGACAUAAAACACAUUUAUUUAUUCAAAAGAGGUCAUCGUGUCAAAAUAUUGACCUGAGUCGAAACCUCAAACCGACCAAACAACAACACACUCUGAUACCAUACAUGCAAAUACUAACGCUAUACCCAGCACACAUUCACCAUGUUGGAUUCCCACAGUUUAAAGAUGAUCCUGCUCCUGCAACCUUGUCCAGGUUGUCACUGCAGUAAAUAUAAUUUCACUAAUUCACUUAAGAGUUUUUCAGCUUUGGAUUUCAACCAGUAACCUUUUGAUGACGAGCCUUACACAAUCACAAUACCCUAAAACUAGGAGCCAUGUCAUAUCAUCACAUCCAUGUUAGAUGAACCUUUGGAUGAAACGUUAUUCAGGUUCAGCCACAUUUAAUGGGUGAUUUGUUUUAUCAGCUUUCAAAUACAAUAAGACUUAAGGCUUUUUGUUCUUUACUUAAAUAGUUAAAACUGAGACCGUUGAAAACACAUUCACAUAAACGAAUCCCCACAUUCCCCCUUUAUCGUUAAAACUGAACAGCUCAAAUGGAUGUUUAUUUAGAGUAAUAACAUUAUUUUAAUGAGCAUUAGUCCCCGAGCUAAAUACCAAAUGUAUUCAUUUUGGAUUCCAAACGUGAUAACAUCAUAGUUCUCUGCUCGCCAAUGGUCAGUCGGUUAUGCAAGCCAAGCUGGUGUUAUGUAAACCCAUUCAGUCCCAGUUACACCACAGGCUCAGCAGAGGUCAGCUUCAGAACAACAGGGAUUAGACGAGAUCAUAGUUUGAUCUCUUACAGGGAUCAGAGGCCAGAAAGAGAUCCACAGUCGAGGCUGCGCAUGAUUUAGUUGUUUGAACGCUCAGAGGUCUGAGCCCAGUGACAGACAGUGUCAAGAGGAUGCUCGAUCAAAGCGCUGAACUCUAACCUGUGCUGUCUUUACUAUUCUUUUCUAUUCUGUUGUUUUCAUUCUUACAUUUUCAGCACCCAGUGUAUUUACUAGAGUAAAUCUGAAAACUUGCAAUGAGGAACUGACCCCUGCGAAGCCUUGCUCCCUUUAGUUAUGGUUGCUGUGUCUGCUUAGCUUUAUUUUCUGUAGAAAGUGCACCUGUUUUAGACAGAGGUGGCCAACUUUCGGCUAUAUUUUCACAUGGUUCAGUCAGACUUUGCAAUAGGAAACUGGAGCGUAACAUCUGUUUAAUGUCCAGUUUAACCGAUUUGGACAUUUGCGUUCACACGUGCGGCUCCUCCGGGUUAUGUCUCGAAAGCUCAAGCUUUUGUCUGUUACACGGUUCACAGCCUCUGUCUGGGUAACAAACUGUGGUGAGCCUCUCGCUUGCAGGCAGUUACAAAAGUUGCCGGAUUUGUCCCAUAUUUUGAACAAAAAAAGUUGCUUUUGGGGUGCAAAAAAGGGUGCAAUAAUGGAACCUGUUUGCACCAGUUCAUUUCGAAAGAGCAGUGGUCAUUUACUCACUCAUUACUUGGCCUUGUAAUGCUUGAUGUUAGUGGAGCUCUGUGCCGUACUUUUAGCUCCUUCAGCUUCAGAUACACGCAGUGGCUUCCAGCAUGGCCUUCCCAGCAAGACCAAAACCUCCUACCUAGACUCAAGGAGGAUCCUACCACACCUAGCUGUCUCUACUGUCUUUGCAGUAGAGGUUUACCUUUCCCUUCCUCCCUCUUAAAUUCCACCUCAACCUCCUCCCUUACAUCAACGUCCCCUCUCGCUACCACACCUGCGGAGACCACAGCCCACAUUGUCGUCAACUUUACCGAACACUUUCACUCUUGUAGUUUUGUUUUUCGUAAAAGCUAAAAAAGGAGACACCGCCCUUCAAAAUCUUUAGUGUCUCUUAUUUUCAAAUUCCUCAACAUGCUUAUUCACCAUUUGAGGGAAAUGAAUCCUGACAGAAUGCUAUGAUUGGACAAUUGCUGUUUUUUCGAUGGAGUGUAGCAAAACCCUCAGUUAUGACUUUCCCAUGCCGUGACUACAGCUUCUUUUUAUAUCUCCAUUACUUGAUGCUUCAGCAAAUUCUAGUCUCCUCUUUGUCCAUGAACAUCCACACUAAUAGGUUACCUAAAAACUCCAGUUCAUCUGACCCGCAUGUCUCGCAUUUGAAGAAACCAUGACAGCCCUCAAAAAGCCCAGAGGAAACAAACUCCUCUCAGAGAGGAGCAGGGCUCUGCAGGGGUUGAGCAGUGAUUUGUUGAAAUUAACAAGCGAUGGUCACAGAGAAUAAUUUCUGUCAGGGUUACUUACCCCCCUUAUAAGAAUAAAUACAUCAUUAAGAAGGGUAGUGCCGUUUGCUUUCAGCACCCUUCAAAUCACUUAGUCGUCAGAGAGGAGAUAAAAUUCCAUGCAGCUCAUAGGGAAGAGGCAAUCGAGGUAGACUCUUGAGGUGAGAGAGGAGGAGGCAGAUAAAGCAGAUCAGGUCAAAAAGUAAUGGAGGAAACCUCAUGAAACUAGCAAAAAAAUCCAACCAUACACUUGCUCAUUAGUCUGCCUCGAACUUUGUCUGGGGCUUGGUGCUAUAUGGACAGUGGGCUUUAAGCUUCCUGCUGAGACUGGAAACUACACUGAUGAGAGCAUUGAGCAUGAACCAAGACAAGUGAAUAAAAAUAAUCAAAAGGCUAAAGGCUUAUUCUGUAAAAUUAAUUUAAGGCACUAAGGUCAGUAACACCCUUAAGGCUCAUGUAUGCUGCCUUUACGUGCUAAAAGAGGUACGUCUGUUUAAAAGUGAUGUAACCAUAACUGCCCACAUGUGUCUUUAUCAUUUGCAUGGUUGUUAGGCAAUACAUCCAUUAGAGGGCAGCGCAGAGUCGAGUGUGUCUGCGUGAAAUAACAUUAUAUAGUAUUUUCUUAACAACUCAAAGUCUCUCCUCAAAAGGUUUCACAAUUGUUGAAAUUUCUUCUUCACGAUCUCCCAUGGAACUAGUCCGUUUAGUCCAUUUUGUCGGUAUCCGUACGCCUUCAGAAGAUGUGUCCGUAUACGAAAUGAAGGUAGAGAACGCAUUUCAAUGAUAAAAGUCAUUCUAACCCAAAACGCAAGUCACCCUCAUCAUAAAACGACAUAAAAAGACUAAAAUUAUUAUCUCGCUCAUAGAAUCAUUAGAUCAAAAAAUACUUGUAUGUAUUUUCUAGAGAGCCUAUGUCAACAUUUUUGUUUGUUAAUUUGAACAAUUAAUUAAGAAUAUGGUAGAUCAUCAGGUCAACUAGUACCAUGUGUAGAUUAGGAUAUUCUUUUGUUAGCUGAAUCUAAUCAAAAUCAAAGUAGUCCGUUGGUAGUUUUAUACUUUCUGAUCCCAUUCUUCCUGCCUCAGAGGACUGGUCCACAGUCUUCCACUGCACAUGUAUGUGUUCAUACACUUGCAUGUGUUUGCACAUGCAUAUCACUAUCACUCAGUCGAGAUUCAUCCUGUCUGAACUGCGUCACCGUUCUGUCAGUCCUCUGCAGCGUAAUGAGCUGUAACGUGCCUCUCGUUCUCCCGACCCGAGCUUCCUGUCCAGUUUUCCUUCCACUAUCUCCUUCGCUUGAUGUCCCGGAGGGAAAAGUGUCCCUGACGGCUAUCAGGGUGGUCAGAGCAAGAUCACAUCACUGCGGUUAACUUUAUUAGGAAAUUAAUUUGCAGAACUAACUUCAGCCUUCGGAAGCAAAGCUAAAUGUGCUGACAGAAAUGAGCGGAGGAGAGAAAGAACAAAAAUUUGUCAUCUGAGAUAAAGAGACGCAGAGUGACACAUGAAGUGAAAAAAAAGGAAUAUCCGGGAGAUAGGGGGAAGAUAAUGAGGCAGCGAAUGCUCAUUUUCAUCUCUGCCAUUAAGCAUUUACCCACAAGGAAAGCGACAUUGUUUAAGACUGAGGAAAUGAGAGGAAAGAAGAGAGAGAGGAGAGGAAGGAAGGAGGUGUGAGAAGGAUUAUAUUUGACAGCAAUACUAACAAGUAUGAUGGAAAUAAUAUAAGUAAUAGUCGUCAGAAUCAGAAUAAGUGGGAAUGAAUGGGUUUUAAAGUAACAAACAACCGAAUACAUUUGUUGCAGUGACAAUGCAUUGAUCAGCGUGCAUGAUUUAUGAGCUCAUAUCUCCCAUCCACAAUCACAAUGAUUGGAUAUAUAGGCCACUCAGGGAGGCCCGGGUCAUUUAUUAGUCCUCACUCCUUCAUAACUACUAUCAGCAACCAUCCAUCACAUGUUCGCCACAGUUUCACUCCAGACAGAAUGUGUUUGUGGUCGUUGUUUGGUCGGUCAAGGCUCAGGUGUCCAGUGUUCACCACCACCACUACCCUCUGUCCAAUCAGCAGCCAGACUCUGCGGAAGCAUGGACUAAUGUGUGGGAUCCUAUAAGCUUGUGGAACUGACUCAAUGGACGCCACGAAAAAAAUGACAGCAUGGACAUCUUGGUGUCUGUUAUUGUGGACAGGACAAUCUUUGCCACUCUCGGACAAGGCAGUUCUUUACGUCAUCUUGCUGCUAAGACCUGCAGGCAAAGUCACACAGAAGUGAAGGUUAAAAUCUCCAACUGCAGACUCGUAUCAGUCUGUCCCAGUAACCUCAGCUACUCAGCCACUCAGCCCCAAGAUCCUCCUCAUUGAUCUUCAUUCAGGAGAAGUACUGAAUGCAACAGCCUGGAGAAAUGACAAUAACACUGGUCUGUUUGCCAGAAAAAUAAACUGUGGAGCUACAUUGCAACACUGACCCAGUUCUGCUCUGGAUGAGAAGAAAAAAGUGGGAAUGCAGGUGUAUCUGGAUGAGCAUAUUCUAAAUCAUGAUACCAAAUGGAUUUGCGUGGAGAGAGACUCUUGAUUCUUGUCCUUGUAAAAACUGCUAGGUGGUGACGUCAUGAUCCCUUGCAGGAUGAGAAAAAGAGGAAAGUAGCAUCUCAUUAAAUUAUUAUAUUAUAAUAUUUUGGGAAUGUCUUUGUUUGAGCGGAAGAUGUUUCUUCAUUCACAAAUCGGCAUAAAUACUUCAUUGUCUCCGACUGGAGCUGGACAAUACAGGAAUGACAGAAAGAUAAUUGUACAGAACCUUUUAAUCCAAAGCUUGUCUCUAAUUUGUGAGAAAACACAUAAAACUAUCUAAACAAUGAUUUGUUUAUCUCAAAUGUCUUGACUUGAUGAGGACAGGAUGAGGUAUUUGUACUUAUGAUCAGGUAUUAGCUGUGGUUACUCAGAGGCUUCACUGUGAAGUCUACAGGCUAAAACAUGUAAAGUACAAUGGUAGAGCAGAGUUAUGUGUCAUAAAGCAUCACACAUUCAUACAUCAGAUGAUCAGAAAGGAUACAACAAAUGUAACACACAUAAUGAGAAAUGUAUUACAAUGCAAACAUAUAACAGAAACACUAUGACUGUAAACAUCUGCAGCCCUGUGUGUUCAGCAGGAGGAGGUGAAACAGUAUUAAAUGUUAACAUGCUACCAUUGUAGCAUUAUCGUAUCUCAGCAUUGUGUCCACCUCACUCCACAUGCAUGGCUACUAGAUCGCUCUAAUUCCCUGACUUGUCCUCCUUAAUGGAGUUAACUGUUUACCUCCUCACAUACAUUUCAGUCAUUUGCACUUGAGUAACACAAACUACAUGCUUAGAUCUAUUAGUUGAUACAUAUUAAUGUGGCUUUAGUAUUUGUUUUUAUGAUGUUUCUAUUUAUUUAUUUUAGUUAGUUAUUCUUUACUCUUAAAGGGAGUUGUGUUAGACCUUUCUACUGUAUGAAUCUCACCCUACAUUCAAUCCUCUGUAAUAUAACUUCAUUAAAUUAUUCAGAAUGUGA